CCAGCUUCCAAGUGCGUCUGCGCGCCGACCACCCACGCCGGGUCCUUCAAGUGCCGCUUCCACCGCACCAACUCUCAGGGCCACGACCAUGGCCAGGGCCACUGCCCUUCUUCGCCCCCUUCACCAGUCGCGGCCAACGCGGUGCCACGGCACCCGGCCUCGCCGUCCUCGGCAUCCGGCACCGUCGCGACCCAGUGA
rnacentral:rRNA from 1 species